rnacentral:rRNA from 1 species
UACGUAGGAUCCAAGCGUUGUCCGGAUUUACUGGGUGUAAAGGGUGCGCAGGCGGACUUGUAAGUCAGGGGUGAAAUCUCACAGCUUAACUGUGAAACUGCCUUUGAUACUGCAAGUCUUGGAUCCAGAGGAGAGUUGUGGAAUUCCGAGUGUAGCAGUGAAAUGUGUAGAUAUUCGGAAGAACACCAGUGGCGAAGGCAGCAACUUGGUCUGGUAUCGACGCUCAGGCACGAAAGCAUGGGGAUCAAACAGG